rnacentral:rRNA from 1 species
GUAGGGAAUAUUGGGCAAUGGAGGCAACUCUGACCCAGCCAUGCCGCGUGCAGGAUGACGGCCCUCUGGGUUGUAAACUGCUUUUAUACGGGAAGAAAAAAUACUACGUGUAGUAUACUGACGGUACCGUAAGAAUAAGGAUCGGCUAACUCCGUGCCAGCAGCCGCGGUAAUACGGAGGAUCCAAGCGUUGUCCGGAUGUAUUGUGUUUAAAGGGUGCGUAGGCUGAUCUUUAAGUCAGUGGUGAAAGCCUGCAGCUUAACUGUAGAAUUGCCAUUGAAACUGAAGAUCUUGAAUGUGGUUAAAGUAGGCGGAAUGUAUCAUGUAGCGGUGAAAUGCUUAGAUAUGAUACAGAACACCGAUAGCGAAGGCAGCUUGCUGAACCAUUAUUGACGCUGAGGCACGAAAGCGUGGGGAGCAAACAGGAUUAGAUACCCGUGUAGUCC